UACGAAGGGGGCUAGCGUUGCUCGGAAUCACUGGGCGUAAAGGGUGCGUAGGCGGGUCUUUAAGUCAGGGGUGAAAUCCUGGAGCUCAACUCCAGAUCUGCCUUUGAUACUGAGGAUCUUGAGUUCGGGAGAGGUGUGUGGAACUGCGAGUGUAGAGGUGAAAUUCGUAGAUAUUCGCAAGAACACCAGUGGCGAAGGCGGCUCACUGGCCCGAUACUGACGCUGAGGCACGAAAGCGUGGGGAGCAAACAGG
rnacentral:rRNA from 1 species